GAAAAAUGCAAAGAAUAUCACAUCCCACUCUGUAUGGCAUUCAUAAACUACAAGAAAGCAUUUGACUCAGUAUCUACAGGGAUAAUACUAACAGCAUUAAGUAAUCGAAAAAUAGAUCAUCAGUACAUAAAACUACUGUGUAUAUACGAAGAAGCAACAGCCAUAAUUUCACGAAAGAUAGUAGAAAAAAGUCCAAUAAGAGUUCAUCAAAGAGACAACAUCUCACCAAAAGGAUUUGCAAUCUGUCUAGAAGAAAUAUUCCAACAAAUAAAUGGAUGGAAACACAACGGAAUAAAUCAACAGAAAGU
rnacentral:lncRNA from 1 species